CACCCACUUCUUCCUCUCCCCCCUUCCCCCAAUGGCACCCAAUGUUACUCCCCCCACCACCGCACCCAAGCUCGAAACCGGCCCCGUCCACCCCGGCCGGGUCCGCGUCCUCAGGCCCGGCUCCUCCCCCUCCCCCCCGGGCCCCGUGGUCUAUUGGAUGUUCCGCGACCAGCGGUCCCGCGACAACUGGGCCCUCCUCCACGCCGCUCACCUCGCCGCCCGCUCCGCCGCCCCCGUCGCCGUCGCCUUCAACCUCUUCCACCCCCGCUUUCUUGGCGCCCACGCCCGCCAGCUCGCGUUCAUGCUCCGCUCCCUCCGCCUCCUCCACCUUCGCCUCCACUCCCUCGGUCUUCCCUUCUUCCUCCUCCGCGGCGACCCCGCCCACACCCUCCCCGCCCUCCUCCGCCACCUCGCCGCCUCUGCCCUCGUCGCCGACUUCUCCCCCCUCCACCCUGUCCGCGCGGCCGUUGCCGACAUUUGCGACCGCGUCGGCCAGGAGGUCGCCGUCCAUCAGGUCGACGCCCACAACGUCGUCCCAGUCUGGGCCGCCUCCGAUAAAUUGGAAUACAGCGCCAAGACUAUCCGCCCCAAGAUCCAUCGCCUCCUCCCCGAGUACCUCGUCGAGUUCCCCGAGCUCCCGCCGCCUGCCGUCCCUUGGACGGCCGACGAUCCGCCGGAGAUCGACUGGGGAGGGCUUAUCGCCGAAGUCCUCAGGUAUUCUCAUGGAGAGGUGCCGGAGAUUGAGUGGUGCGAGCCGGGGGAGGAUGCGGCAAUGGAGGUGUUGAUGGGGAGCAAGGAUGGGUUCCUGACGAGGAGGUUAAAGAACUAUGAGACGGACCGCAAUGAUCCGUUGAAGCCGAAGGGGCUGUCGGGCCUCUCUCCUUACCUGCACUUUGGGCAAAUCUCAGCCCAGCGUUGUGCUCUGGAGGCACAAGCAUGGAGGAAAUCUUGUCCCAAGUCAGUUGAUGCAUUCUUGGAGGAGUUGAUCGUGCGAAGGGAACUUGCAGACAAUUUUUGCUACUACCAGCCUCUAUAUGACUCAUUGCAAGGUGCAUGGGAAUGGGCUCGCAGGACAUUAAUGGACCAUUCUGCGGAUGAAAGAGAGCAUCUCUACACGAAGGAACAACUGGAACAAGCAAGAACAGCAGAUCCUGUAGGAUUACCAUCUGGAAUCUAUGGAAUGCAUCACAACUGGAGAUGGUCCAUUAUGGAAAAAUGCAUGGGUUCAUGCGGAUGUACUGGGCCAAAAAAAUUCUUGAGUGGACAAGCCGCCCUGAAGAAGCACUUUCAAUAGCAAUAUACCUAAAUGACAAGUAUGAGAUCGAUGGUAGAGAUCCAAAUGGCUAUGUUGGUUGCAUGUGGUCCAUAUGUGGCGUCCAUGAUCAGUUACAUAAUUGCAGGGCUGGUUGUACCUAGCUUAAUGUCUUCUAAUUGCAGGGCUGGAAAGAGAGACCAGUGUUUGGGAAAAUACGUUACAUGAACUAUGCAGGCUGCAAAAGAAAAUUCAAUGUGGAUGGCUACAUAGCCUACGUAAAAAGACUGGUAGCCGAAACCAAGAAAAGGAAAUCAGAAAGCCCAUCAAGUUUGAUACCCAAACGUUCAAAGAUCAUAAAAUCUGAAUAGAAUACUUUGAAGAUGGAACCGGCAGAUGGCUGAUACCAUCCCGCAUCAUGGCAUUUAGCAAGAGCACCUUGAAGUCCUGAAGCAUGACACAUCUACAUAGACUUAUUUCUAUAGCAUUGGACUUCCUCUUCUUAUGUCCAUUUACUCAAUCUAAGUUGACUAUUUUGGGUGUUUCAAUAUUUGAAGAUCCUGAAACAGAUCGCUGAUGACAGCUCCAUCGUCAUUGUGUGAUGGAUGGAAAUGCAGAUCUAGCUCGUAGAUUAUCUGAUAUGUAGGACACAGACUUGAGAGUGAUGACUAACAUAUUUUAUGUCAACUUGGAAUGCAAAGAUAUCUUCUAGAUUUCUUGUCUUUGUACAUUACACAGGAUGGUAUGUAACAUUGCUAUUAGUAAAUGAGAUUCUGUUCAUCUUUCACCACCUA